rnacentral:rRNA from 1 species
UGGGGAAUAUUGCACAAUGGGCGCAAGCCUGAUGCAGCCAUGCCGCGUGUAUGAAGAAGGCCUUCGGGUUGUAAAGUACUUUCAGUCGGGAGGAAGGUGGUAAGGUUAAUAACCUUGGCAAUUGACGUUACCGACAGAAGAAGCACCGGCUAACUCCGUGCCAGCAGCCGCGGUAAUACGGAGGUUGCAAGCGUUAAUCGGAAUUACUGGGCGUAAAGCGCACGCAGGCGGUUGAUUGAGUCAGAUGUGAAAUCCCCGGGCUUAACCCGGGAAUUGCAUCUGAUACUGGUCAGCUAGAGUCUUGUAGAGGGGGGUAGAAUUCCAUGUGUAGCGGUGAAAUGCGUAGAGAUGUGGAGGAAUACCGGUGGCGAAGGCGGCCCCCUGGACAAAGACUGACGCUCAGGUGCGAAAGCGUGGGGAGCAAACAGG